GGAAGAUGUUGACGCUUGUCUAAGAGCUGCUGGUGGUGUUUUCAGCCCUGCUCCUCGGCGCUUUAUAGAUGGUAAACGUUGAAAACCAACCCCGUCCACACAAGUGCAUCAUCACCUUUCUUGCAAAAUGGAAACCCAGCACCCCAUUUUCAUUGAAAAUGAACUUUGUUUCCCCGAAGUAGUCAUUGAAAAAGAAAAAGCAGUAUCCCAAAACAAUCAUAGUUGUGGUUUGUUGCUCUGUACGUUGAAGAAGGCACAAACUCCUCUCUAUCUGCUGGAUGUCAGGACAGCUCAGGCCUUAUUUCUUACUCAUAUUUUCACAUCAUCUCGCCCAGAAUUUCUCACAUUUCCCAUUGAGUUGGAUGCCUUGCUGCUCGGUGGCUUCAUACCUUUUGUUGCACAAGGUGGCAGUGGCUGUUUGGGGUUGGCAGGCUGACACAGUGAUGCCAGAUUCUUCCAUACUGCUCUGGAGACCAGAGGAGUUGUUAGCCGACCCAAUCUGCUGGAGCCUGAAUCCACUUGUUUGUAAUGAAUAUCCUGCAUGCUGCCCCCAAAGGAAAACCAAGAUAUACGUCAUCCUGGUUGUCUUAUGCAUGUGCUUUAGCUGUGGAGAAUAAGGACCAGAAUCGCCCACUCUGGGGCUCAUGGACCACAAGGGACCUCGGAGUGGGUUUCAGGGAGAUCACAAGCCUCCUAAAAUAGUGCACAUAGUGCUGUGGGUGGGUGGUCAUAGCUUCCACCAAAUUCCCAAGGAGGAUAACUGUUAUGAAGAAAAAUGGUCUGGAGUUCCCCUUGUGGCUCACUGGGUUCAGGGCCCGACCUAGUGUCCGUGAGGGUGCAAGUUCGAUUCCUGGCCUCGCUGAGGGGGAAAAGGAUCAGAAAUAGAUAUUGAUCAAAUCACAGAUUACUUGCCUGGGAGACAAGCCAGCAAGAGAGGUGAGAAUUCAAAGAAGGGAACCGAGGGGAGCAGAUACCACGACGGCAUGUUUAAUGGUUCAAGGAAAGGAGAAUGCAUUCUGGGAAGGAAUGUUAAAACUCAUAUUUUAAAGAGUUUUAAAAUGAAAAAUUUUGGAAACAUUAUCACAUUUUGAAAAGCCAAUAGUUUUCAUUUGUUUCUAAGCAGCAGGAACCAAGUGACCAAAGGUAUUGUGGUACAUCAGAUAAAUGGCCAGGACAAGGGCUCUACUUGAGAAUACCACUCCCCCCCCCCCAAAAAAAAAAAAGAUCUUUAUAAAUAUUUUCAAUACAAAAGUUUCUGGAACACAUCUACUUCAAAGAAAUCUCUGGAAGUACCAGAGGCAAAUUUAUCUCCUGUGAAAUCAUAAAUGUAUAAUUCCAAAGGUGUUGGCUUUAUGACACACUUUUUCAGUCUCUAUUUGGGGUCCUUCUCUAUCAUUUUUAAUUUUAAUUUUUUAAAAAAAAAUGGUACUAUAUUUUUUACCAGUUGGAAGGAUUAACUGCAGUUGGUUCCCAGGCUAGGGGUCCAAUCAGAGCUGUUGCUGCCAGCCUCCGCCAGAGCCACAGCAAUGCCAGAUCCGAGCCUCAUCUGUGACCUACAGCAUAGCUCACGGCAACACCAAUCCUUAACCCGCUGAAUGAGGCCAGGGAUCGAACCCGCAACCUCAUGGUUCCUAGUUGGAUUCGAUUCCACUGCGCCACGACAGGAACUCCUAUUUUGUGCUUUUUAUAUAAGCCAGUGAUACUCUGGAUCAUCAAUAUAUGUGUAAAGACAGGCUUAUAAAUAUAAGUUGAUAUAUAAAAUACAUCAAUAUAUACAAAUGUGUAAAUAGAUGGAGAAAGUGAUAGAUGAACAGCAGAAAUGUUGAACAGCCUAUUCAAAGAUUUGCAGAGAAGCUAAGGAAAAUAAAUGCACUUUCAACUUUAAAACAUGCUAAUUGACAAGUGAGAAAAUUCUGAGAUUUCCUUCCCGUGAAAUAAAGCAUAGGUGAGAAUGAGUGAGUGUUUUGGCCCCUGGCUAAGAAUGCUCUAGUGCGGCUUUAGAGGAGAGACGAUAGAUAAUAGGGCUUGUUUUAAAGACAGAGUUAUUAGGAGUGGAGAAAAGGACAUUCCUCUAUGGUUUGGGGGUUGAAGGAAGAGGUUUGAGCCAAAGCAAAUGGAUUGAAAAGCCCACUGUGAAAACAGGACAAGAGAGUUACAAAUACCUGUGUUAGAGAUACGUCUGGAAAGGGGACGUUGGGGAGUUCCCCUUGUGGCUCAGCGUGUUAAAGACCGAAUGUUGCCUCUGUAAUGAUGCCGGUUCAAUCCCUGCCCUCGCUCAGUGGCUUAAGGAUCCCGCAUUGCCGAGAGCUGACCCUUGGCCCAA
rnacentral:lncRNA from 1 species